rnacentral:other from 1 species
GGUAUCCUGAAAUGUGCGAGAUGUCUAAUAUUGAACCUGCUAUAUGACAUACGGGAGCUCGAUUGUUUUUGCACGUAGCAUAGGCCACAAGCUAAUUCCGUCAAGCAGCAUCAGCUGUUUGCAACGGCGGUGGAAAUAUGAAAUGCAGAAUAGGGCACCCACCUGGUAAAUGCCAGGUGUCACGUAUAGGCUAACGGCAUUUUGGGUCAGGA